GAUGAACGCUGGCGGCGUGCCUAAUACAUGCAAGUCGAGCGAACGGACGAGAAGCUUGCUUCUCUGAUGUUAGCGGCGGACGGGUGAGUAACACGUGGAUAACCUACCUAUAAGACUGGGAUAACUUCGGGAAACCGGAGCUAAUACCGGAUAAUAUUUUGAACCGCAUGGUUCAAAAGUGAAAGACGGUCUUGCUGUCACUUAUAGAUGGAUCCGCGCUGCAUUAGCUAGUUGGUAAGGUAACGGCUUACCAAGGCAACGAUGCAUAGCCGACCUGAGAGAGUGAUCGGCCACACUGGAACUGGGACACGGUCCAGACUCCUACGGGAGGCAGCAGUAGGGAAUCGUCCGCAAUGGGCGAAAGCCUGACGGAGCAACGCCGCGUGAGUGAUGAAGGUCUUCGGAUCGUAAAACUCUGUUAUUAGGGAAGAACAUAUGUGUAAGUAGCUGUGCACAUCUUGACGGUACCUAAUCAGAAAGCCACGGCUAACUACGUG
rnacentral:rRNA from 1 species